rnacentral:rRNA from 1 species
GAUGAACGCUGGCGGCGUGCCUAAUACAUGCAAGUCGAGCGAAGCGGGGACGGGUGAGUAACACGUGGAUAACCUCCUAUAAGACUGGGCUAAAUUCGGGAAACCGGAGCUAAACCGGAUACUUAUAGAUGGAUCUGCGCUGCAUUAGCUAGUUGGUCAGGUAACGGCUUACCAAGGCAACGAUGCAUAGCAGACAUGAGAGAGGGGUCGGCCACACUUAAGCUAAGACACGUUCCAGACGCCUACGGCAGGCAGCAGUAGGGAAUCUUCCGCAAUGGACGAAUGCCUGGCAGAGCCACCCGGAGGGAGUUACGAAGGCCUUCGGAUCGUAGAGCUCUGUGAUUUGUUAGGCGGUACCUGAUCAGAAUACCACGGCUGACUACAUGCCGGCAGCCGCGGUAAUUC